ensembl:ribozyme RNaseP_nuc Nuclear RNase P
GGUGGGAAGUUUAUUGUAGAGGUUACAAACGGAGUGUUCAGAUCACCUCGGGGAAAGUCUGAGACUGGAGCCAACUGUCCUCACAGGACAUAAUCUGAACAGAUGAGCGAGCGCACAGGAAAAAUGGGUCAGAACCUCAGUCUAUGGUCAGAACGCGGAAUUCUAGCGCGAGACGUUUGAACACAAAAUAAAGAACCAACUGAUGCUACCGCCGUUGCCUUGGAAACACUCGCGGCUAGCGCAUUGAGUUCAAUGUGUGAACUGCACAAGAUCCUAGAACCCAAUUCAGACUACUCUCCUACCACU